rnacentral:rRNA from 1 species
AGAGUUUGAUCCUGGCUCAGGACGAACGCUGGCGGCGCGCCUAACACAUGCAAGUCGAACGGAGCUGAGAGGAGCUUGCUUUUCUCAGCUUAGUGGCGAACGGGUGAGUAACGCGUGAGUAACCUGCCCUGGAGUGGGGGACAACAGUUGGAAACGACUGCUAAUACCGCAUAAGCCCACGGUGCCGCAUGGCACUGCGGGAAAAGGAUUUAUUCGCUCUAGGAUGGACUCGCGUCCAAUUAGCUAGUUGGUGAGGUAACGGCCCACCAAGGCGACGAUUGGUAGCCGGACUGAGAGGUUGAACGGCCACAUUGGGACUGAGACACGGCCCAGACUCCUACGGGAGGCAGCAGUGGGGGAUAUUGCACAAUGGGGGAAACCCUGAUGCAGCGACGCCGCGUGGAGGAAGAAGGUUUUCGGAUUGUAAACUCCUGUCGUUAGGGACGAUAAUGACGGUACCUAACAAGAAAGCACCGGCUAACUACGUGCCAGCAGCCGCGGUAAAACGUAGGGUGCAAGCGUUGUCCGGAAUUACUGGGUGUAAAGGGAGCGCAGGCGGACCGGCAAGUUGGGUGUGAAAUCCAUGGGCUCAACCCGUGAAUUGCUUUCAAAACUGCUGGCCUUGAGUAGUGCAGAGGUAGGUGGAAUUCCCGGUGUAGCGGUGGAAUGCGUAGAUAUCGGGAGGAACACCAGUGGCGAAGGCGACCUACUGGGCACCAACUGACGCUGAGGCUCGAAAGCAUGGGUAGCAAACAGAAUUAGAUACCCUGGUAGUCCAUGCCGUAAACGACCCAAAAAGGUGUUGGAGGAUUGACCCCUUCAGUGCCGCAGUUAACACAAUAAGUAAUCCACCUGGGGAGUACGACCGCAAGGUUGAAACUCAAAGGAAUUGACGGGGGCCCGCACAAGCAGUGGAGUAUGUGGUUUAAUUCGAAGCAACGCGAAGAACCUUACCAGGUCUUGACAUCCGAUGCAUAGUGCAGAGAUGCAUGAAGUCCUUCGGGACAUCGAGACAGGUGGUGCAUGGUUGUCGUCAGCUCGUGUCGUGAGAUGUUGGGUUAAGUCCCGCAACGAGCGCAACCCUUAUUGCCAGUUACUACGCAAGAGGACUCUGGCGAGACUGCCGUUGACAAAACGGAGGAAGGUGGGGAUGACGUCAAAUCAUCAUGCCCUUUAUGACCUGGGCUACACACGUACUACAAUGGCGUUUAACAAAGAGAAGCAAGACCGCGAGGUGGAGCAAGACUCAGAAACAACGUCUCAGUUCAGAUUGCAGGCUGCAACUCGCCUGCAUGAAGUCGGAAUUGCUAGUAAUCGCGGAUCAGCAUGCCGCGGUGAAUACGUUCCCGGGCCUUGCACACACCGCCCGUCA